UACGAAGGGGGCUAGCGUUGCUCGGAAUCACUGGGCGUAAAGCGCACGUAGGCGGCUUUCUAAGUCAGGGGUGAAAUCCUGGAGCUCAACUCCAGAACUGCCUUUGAUACUGGAGAGCUUGAGUCCGGAAGAGGUGAGUGGAACUCCGAGUGUAGAGGUGAAAUUCGUAGAUAUUCGGAAGAACACCGGUGGCGAAGGCGGCCACCUGGACGGAUACUGACGCUGAGACGCGAAAGCGUGGGUAGCAAACAGG
rnacentral:rRNA from 1 species